UACGAAGGGUGCAAGCGUUAAUCGGAAUUACUGGGCGUAAAGGGUGCGUAGGCGGUUCGUUAAGUCUGUCGUGAAAUCCCCGGGCUCAACCUGGGAAUGGCGAUGGAUACUGGCGAGCUAGAGUACGGUAGAGGAUGGUGGAAUUCCCGGUGUAGCGGUGAAAUGCGUAGAGAUCGGGAGGAACACCCGUGGCGAAGGCGGCCAUCUGGACCAGUACUGACGCUGAGGCACGAAAGCGUGGGGAGCAAACAGG
rnacentral:rRNA from 1 species